CUACGGGUGGCACCAGUGGGGAAUAUUGCACAAUGGGCGCAAGCCUGAUGCAGCCAUGCCGCGUGUAUGAAGAAGGCCUUCGGGUUGUAAAGUACUUUCAGCGGGGAGGAAGGGAGUAAAGUUAAUACCUUUGCUCAUUGACGUUACCCGCAGAAGAAGCACCGGCUAACUCCGUGCCAGCAGCCGCGGUAAUACGGAGGGUGCAAGCGUUAAUCGGAAUUACUGGGCGUAAAGCGCACGCAGGCGGUUUGUUAAGUCAGAUGUGAAAUCCCCGGGCUCAACCUGGGAACUGCAUCUGAUACUGGCAAGCUUGAGUCUCGUAGAGGGGAGUAGAAUUCCAGGUGUAGCGGUGAAAUGCGUAGAGAUCUGGAGGAAUACCGGUGGCGAAGGCGGCCCCCUGGACGAAGACUGACGCUCAGGUGCGAAAGCGUGGGGAGCAAACAGGAUUAGAUACCCGUGUAGUC
rnacentral:rRNA from 1 species